rnacentral:lncRNA from 10 species
GAAAAGGUUGGGGGUUGCUGCUCCACAAUAUUAUUCUAGCCAUCUUUUUAUUGGUUUCCUAUAAACUCAAAAAUAGCCAUUUAGUAUUAUCCUCACCUCUAUGCUCCUCUGCACCCGUCUAUACACAAAUACUCAAAACCUCACACGUGGCUCACAUUACCUUCUGCCACUAUCAUCCCCGCCAGCUGCUUAAGUUGAUGCAGGAGUUGUCAGAAGUUAAGUGACUUUCCUCAAGGUUAAGCAGGAAUAUGCAAAGGAAGAGCUGGGACCAUCAGUCUCUGACUAGAGAAUCAUAAAGUCAGAACGUGAGCUGACAUGGCCUUUACUUGGACAGGGCCACUUGCAUAUCGAUUGCGUCUCUGGCACAAGUCAUGGAGACCUGGCUGCCAGGAAGGAAAACUGCAGAGAACAGAGCAGAACAAUACUCUUCUAUGGAGAGGCUCAAUGAAGAUUGAAGUUUCAUUUUUGAACCAUGAGAUCUAAUUUCUGAUUAUCCCAAAGUAUACACUUACAGCCUACCAGCCCCAUGAAAUACUCCACUGAAAAGGAAAACAAUGAUUCCACGGUCAAAUAAUCUUAGGAAACGCUGCAUGUUUUAUAUACAUCAUGGAAAUUGAAGACUCUGAGAAGUCCUGCCUCAAAGAAACCUGCUCAGCUUUGUUUAAUUCAGCAUUUCCCAGUCACAUUUAGGUCCAAGUCCAGGCUAAAGAGCCCCUUUCCCUGUGCUAACAGGACAAAGAGAUGACCAGGACAGAAGGUUCACAGCAGACUAUAAAGAUGGAAAUUUGGAAAGGGGAGGUGAACCCAUUUCUCACAUAAAAGUUUCAUUUCAUUUCAAUAAUUUUCCCAAAGAAGCAAGACUUGAGGAUCCUGUGGGUAGAUGGCUGUCUUCCAAUAUUCCUAUCCUAAAUGUUCCUUGAUUAAUAAACCCAUGAUCUUCUCCCUGCAUGGAGCCUGCUGAGCUCUGAACUCUUAAAUGGUAUUUCUAUCAUCAUCUUCACAGAGAUAGUUCCUAAACUAAAGAUUACAAAGUUUUUGGAACCCAAGUCAAGCCUUUUGCAUCCCUCGGUUGGUUGAACAUGCUGUGUCUAGGGGCUCUUUGGCAAUCUGUUACAGAGAAAUCCAUUAAAAUGCCAGUCAACUUAUCUCUUGGCUGAAGCUAUCCAUUGUGAUGUGUCUGAGUUCUAGGGGAGGAAUUCUUUAGUCUAGACCUAAAAGAAUUAAAGCAUUGAGUUUGGAGUGUUGCCUCAUGAAAGGUCAAAGGAAUUUCUUUCCAUAUAUGUGGCAUCGCACUAUCACCUGCUAGAGAUUUAGACCAGGAAAUAGACAGACUGCAGCCCGCUGGUACCUUCAUUUUUGGUCAUUUUUCCUUUGAUGCAGAGUAGUUCAAGGACCAUGUCUUAUAUUUCCCCUUUGCCCUGAUAGUGCUUACUUAACACACUGUUAUAGCCAGUGUGCAGGCUCAAAAUUACAGAAUCAUAGGCUGCAAAGGUGAUGUUUGAGAGAAUCUAUUGUGUGGGGGGGUCUGCUUAUGGAUGCUUAACACCAUAUUUGAUAUAUUAUUAGUUAGGUCUCCUUGACUCCAUGACUAGUCAUGCUAUGAGUUACUUACUCUUAGCCCCUGUGAUUUCAGCUCAGUUCUUUAACAUUCAUUCUCCAAGCAUUACACCACAUGCUUCCACUGAAAAGAUGAAUGAGGCACAGACUUUUCCCUCAUGAGGCUUGUUCCUUCAUGAAAAAGAAAAAUGACCAUACAUUGUGCAUGACACAGGUAAGUACAGGACAUCGGUUGCACAGUGAAGAAACCAAUAACUAAGACAUGGAGGGCUUAGGAGGCUUUUCAGGGGAAGCGACGCAAUACCCAGGAAGAAUCCUGAAGGAUAUAUAGGAGUUUCAAUGCUAAGAAGAGGGGAAAGGCACUUCAUGAGGAGAGGACUGUGUGAGUGAAGGCUUAAAAGCAUGAAACCACAUGAGGCAAUGGAGGACCUGUGUGUCAUCUGGGUGCCGCAGAGCCUAAACUACAAAGACAACAGCAUUCGUUGGGGGAUAAGGGGUGAUAAAUAGUUUUUCACUUUGGCCAUUUCUGCAAAGGCAACUGGUUGAAACAUGAGUUUACCCCUCUGUCUGUUGAUAGGGCUGUUGCAGGUGUUAAGCCCCAGUAUACAAUAAGCACUCUUCAGCUGUUUGUCACUAUAGUUUUUAUUAAUUUUAAGACUUUCACUCAUGAAUUUUCUUAGACACUUCUUUAGGAAAUAGGACUCUGAAACUGUCUGCCUGGAUACUAUUUUUUUUUAAACCCUUGCCAACAUAAGUUCAUUCUGUGUAAAUGCUUUUAUUUUCUUCCUUUAAAAGGUAUGUAAGCAUCCAAACGGUGAAAGCAUUUAAGCAAAACUAUACUUUUGUCAAGAUUGACGAAUAGUGAUUCAGGCAGGAGAGAGGUCUGAUUAAAGCAUCUCUCUGAUCAGUCAUUUGAUUCCUAGGCUUGCAUAAAGAUGCAUGUUUUUUAGCAAGAGAGGGGGAGAAAUCAGGAAAACAUAGAUGUAUCAGUAAGUGCUGUAGUUAUUCUCCAAUGAGGAGGUGAAUAAAGCCCAAGCUUCUGAGUCAGAUCGUCUCAAGUUCAAGCCCCAGCUCUGCCACUGAUGAACUAAGGGAGUUUGGAUGAGUCAGCUGAGAUCUCUGAGCUUCCUUGUCCUCAUUGGUAAAAUGAGGCUAAAGCUACUAGUGUUGUUCUGAGAAUUAAAUAAGAUAAUGCAUCUAAAGCACCUAGCAUUUGUCUAAAGGAAUAAUAGUUAUUAUCAUCGGUAGUAUUACAUAACUUGUCUCUGUCAAUAUGGAGUAAAUUAACCAGAAUCUAGAGCUUUGGGGAAACAAUAUACCAAAACAAACAAUAUCUUGGAGAAACAAUGGCAAAGGCCAGGAACAGGGUAUGCCAUUGUUAAAACCUGUCAGCCAAUUAGUUUAGAGUCAUCCUUUCUUGAGCAUUUAUUGAGCAUCUACUACAUGCUAGGUACUUUCUCAAAUAUUGGGGAUGUAGAAAUGAACAACAGGCAAAAAUUACUGCUGUUGUAAAUCUUACACUCUAGUGGGGAAAGAACAACAAUAAAAACUUGAAUUCAAGUAAAGCAAGUAGCAUGCCAGAUGGUGAUAAGUAGUCUGCUGAAAAAUAAAGCAAAGACUGGAGAAUGUGCAUGCUGGAGUUUGGAGGAGGGUUUAUCAUUUUCCACAGGGUGGUUACUGCCAAAAAGCUCCCUGCGGAGGUGAUUUGGAAUUUGUACCAUUCACAGAAUAUCCUGCAUGGGACCCAAAAUGGCACCUGCAGCUCAGAGCAGAAAUUAGAAGCCAGAAGGUGGAUUUAGGUGACACUUCAAGCAACUUCCUUAUAAGCUGCUCAGCUGCUCUUUCCCAUUAGAGUCUUCGUGUGUACUGGAGUCAGUUCCUUUAGAACAGGGCACUGUCAUGCACAAGCAAUAAAUGCCACCCACACAUGUCAGACUUGGAGAGGUCCCUGCUGCCACCUGGAGCCCACUUGGAGAGGGAGUGUUUGGUAAUUGAGGGUAAGGCUGCAUUGCAAGGGAGCUGCCAGGUACCCCAAGUCACCGUUCUCCUGUUCCACAAAGUCCUGUGGAAGCAAGAGGUAGUAUUCAGUGAUGUAUCCUCACAAUAGGAAUGGGAGAGUAACAAGACUCAUCUCUGGUGAGAAUUUUUCCCCCAGUGGAGCUCACCCUUUCUGGAUGAAGAUAAGGCAAAUGGUAAUGCCAGGGAGGUGACACUGUGGCCCCUUGCCUUUUGGGUUCACAUGCAGAAGUGACUUCACCCAGUGAAAAAAUGUCUUCAUUCAAAACAGCUUUUUCUGCUCAAGCUAUUAAGAGAUAAAAUGUUCCUUCAAGCUGUGAUCUCAAUGGGGAUAAAAAACUUAGCAGAAAUCUCUUCUCCUGAAAUGGGUUAAAUUUGGGCCAUCAACAGGCCACACAUUUCUUUUCUGUCUUCACUAUGUGGAAUUAUCACUUAUGAUCUCCUACUAGGUGCCAAGUAUAAACUGACACAGACGUCAACUAGGAAUUCCUUUAACUACAAGUAGCGGAAUACAGAGUUGCCAGUGAUUUGAAUGAUAAAUUCAUUUAGUUAUGUCACUGUAACUGUACAGCCUGGUGUGGGGCAGAGAAAUGUUAUCAAGAACCCUGACUCUUGUAGAUCUCUGCCCUGCCAUCUUUAACCUGUUGGGUUUCUCAGUUCUUAUGCUUUUUGCCUCUUAGUCACUACGUCAAUCAGCAUUCAUGGGAGGAAGAAGGAAAAUGGGCAGCCCCGGCAUCAUCUGUCCUUUUGAUCAGGAAAGCCAACAUUUUCCUACAGGUACCCCAAGCAGACUUCUCCAUAUGUCUCAUUGGCCAGAACUGGGGCCUCGCGGUCAUUGAUAGCUGUGAAGGAGGCUAAACUUUGGUUUAAAGUAGUGGGCUGCAAACCUGGAUGAGCAUGGGAAUCAGCUGGAAGAUUUGUUAGAACACAGGUUGUUGGGUCUCUCCCCAGACAUUCCAAUUUGUUGGGUCUGGGGCAGGGCUGAGAAUCUGCAUUUCUAGCAAAUUCCCUGGUGAUGCUUCUGCUGCUAUUCCAGGGACCCACUUUGAGAACCACUGGUUUAAAGGAACUCUUUUAUAUUCUAAUUGAUACUCUCCUAAGCAGACUCUACUUUGCUUUUCCCUGAAUUUUUGCAGGACACUUACUUGUAUCUUCUGCCUUUCAUUGCAUACAUCAUUGCCACGUCUACUUUCCUAAUUCUGUCCCUGAUCAUAUUGUGUCUUUACUCAAAAACUGUCAGGGGGUGCUUAGUAUUCUCUGGAAUCUGAGGCUUUUCAUGAUUUAAUACCAACAUGCCUAUGUUUCCAAAUAUUCAGUGUUAAUCAUCUAUGUGUCAUUUACAUGCAGCCCUGAAAAUAUGACCUUGUGAUGACUCAGUUGUAUCAGACCAAUCACCUUUCUGAGAAUAAUUAUAAAAGCUGAUUAAAAUACAAAAAACCACUGUGUGAAAACAUCACAAAGUAGCCAACACAGUCAGAACUUCAGAGGUCAAAAUCCAAGAAAAAAAGGCGAAAUGCAUAGAUAAAUUCUUCCAACUAUUUAAGGAAUAAAGAUCCCUAAUGUGACACAAACUCUUCCAGAGAGUAGAAAAAGAGGGAGGAAUUCAUAACAUAGUUUAUGAAACCUGCAUAACUUUGAUAUCAAGCCUAAUAAGGGCACUAUAAGACAGGAAAAUUAUUGCCAAUAUCUCUAAUGAACGUAGGUGAAAAUACUAAGUGAAAAAAACAAAUUGAACCCAUUAAUAUAUAUAAAGGGUAAUACUCCACAACCAAGCAGGAAUCCAUGAAUGCAAAUAUCUUAAUAUCUACCAACUUUACUCUUUAAGCCUUCAUUUCCGCAUCUAAUAAUUGUUUUAUCUAUUUUAUAAGUAGAACUGUUGUAAGGCUUAAUUGAGAUAAUACAUGGAAAGAGCCUAGUAUAUUCCUCAACACAUAGGAAGUAUUCAAUAAGAUUGGCUAAUAAUGUUUUAUUAUUUCACAUAAAUGAGGUUCUACUAUAUAACAUUGUGCUGCAAGAUUAUGUAGACUAACAUUCAAGAGCAAUCACAGCAUGGUCCCAGCUACCUCUUCCAAUAGUUUCUUCAACUUUCCUCUUUGUAGUUUACACGAAUUUUUCCUUGAACAUGCACUGCUUCUUUUUUUUUAAUUGAAGGUCCCUGGCUGGUCCUGCUUACAUGAGUGGCUGUGACCAGGGGAAUAGGGAGAGGAAUCAGCCAGCAUGGGAAGGAGUCAUCUCACAACAUUCUAUUUAUAUGCAGAACCAAACAGAGAAGCACAGAGUCACUAUUGUGCUUAGAAGUUGGCAGCAUGGGAAGGGGGAAACAGGUGGGGAGUGGGGAUGUUGUUAAAAAAGCACAGCCCCCUCCUCAAACUGGGAUGACUGGGGGAAAUUGAUCAGCUUCAACCCAAGAGGAAUCAAGACCAAAAGUGGUUUGAGAAGGCCAGAACUGUCAGAGAUGAAGGGAGGAGGAAACUCUAGUGGGUACAGGAGCUGUUUAGCAGACUCAGGGGCCCAGAAGAUAAAAACCAGGUCCCUCUUUGUGCUCUCCUUGGUCUCCA